GAGUCAGAUAUCUGAUGAUCCACAUGCUGUCUUGAACUCGUGGAACCAAACACGACACCAUUGCCAAUGGCCGGGGAUCACGUGAUAGUCGACAUCAGAGGGUCACAGCCAUAACUCUAACAGGCUGGAGUUUGUUUGGAACCAUAUCUCCUCAUAUAGGAAAUCUCAGCUUCAUGAAAUCCAUCCAUCUGGAGGAAAAUCAGUUCCAUGGUGAAAUUCCACAAGAGAAAAGGUGGAUGGAACAUCAUCAACAACUGGAAGUGCAUAGGCCACCAUGUCAACAAAACGAGCAGAGUCAUUGAUGGUGCUGUUUGCUGGGCUCACCAUUAUUUACUCAAACUCCACCUGUUUCGGCAUACACUCCAUGUGUUGCGGAGUACCACUGGUCCCAUCUUGUGAUACCUUAUUCAA